UGUUACGGCAGCAGCAACAUACCAGAGGAACAAGCAGCAGGGCAGGGCAACCUGGAGCACGAGCACCAGCUGCUGCUGCAAGGAGAAGAUGAUUGCUGUUAUGUUUUUUUAAUUUUUGCCAUGUCAUAGGAGACGAACAUUUGUUUGCAUUGACGUUCCCAGAAGGAAAACUGGAGCUACACGUACAUGAGUCAUAGGAUUGCUUGGUGAAGGCUCCCUACUUUUAGCUAGUAUUGAGAAGUUCGCCAUUAGCAUAUUGGCCAUACAUGGUGCGGUUGAACACUCAAAUUGGUGGAUACAAACUGCAAAUCAAACUUUAACCAGUGCAAGCAGUAUUUGCUGAUGUCAAGUGGCCGUUAUUUGUCCAUUUUGAAUCCUGUAUGUGUUUCUUACAGAUCAUCCUUAUUUUGUACUAAUGGAAGUUGUUAUUUGAUUAGCCAA